rnacentral:rRNA from 1 species
UGCAACCCGCCUGCAUGAAGUCGGAAUUGCUAGUAAUCGCGGAUCAGCAUGCCGCGGUGAAUACGUUCCCGGGCCUUGUACACACCGCCCGUCACACCAUGGGAGCCGGUAAUACCCGAAGUCAGUAGUCCAACCACGUGAGGACGCUGCCGAAGGUAGGAUUGGCGACUGGGGUGAAGUCGUAACAAGGUACC